rnacentral:lncRNA from 1 species
GGCACUGACGAGGCCGGGGAGUGAUCGCCGGUGCAAGAGGCAUGGUGUAGGGGGCACGAACAAGGAGCGGCUCCUGGCAGGCUUCGAGUGGAAGGGGUACAUGGACGAAUCGAACAUACACCAGAAUGAGAGGGAUCUGAAGACUGUAUAGGUAUGGGACUAUACAGUUGAAAGAUAGCUUAAAGGAAUUGAUUUGGCUACCCAUAUCACCAAAAUGCAUUUACUUUUCGGUAGUCUAACCCUUAAGAACUCCAUGGUUAAGCGUG